ACAAGCGCGUGCGGUGGGCGGGACCGUUAAACGAAGAGGAAGACGAGAACUAUCCGGCUCGCAGCCCCCGUCAUCUUUGUCCGACCAGACCCGCUAAACACUUUUAGGAACUGUGACAACAUCAUCAUCAAUAUUUCCUCACCCAGGUGGGAACCAAACACGCACUCGGUCUUACCUGCGGAACCACCGGCGAUGAUCUGGUGGGAAGCUUCCCGGACGAUGCCGCGCGGCUUGGGGACGCUCAUGACUGCGGAUCUGGCCGAAAAGGCAGAAAGUCAAGCGGUUGCGUCUUGCGUGGAUCUUCUCUUUUGCUGCCGGUCCACACUCCCACUCCCACACCCGCGUGCACGCGCAGGGGCGAUGCGUGCACGCGGGGACUCGACCUGAUGUCUUGUUUUUGAGAACAUUCCAGAAGGACGUGGACUUAGACGUGGCAAUUUAAAGGACAACAGAUCAAAACGAAAUGACGCAAAAGAGGGAAGUACAGGCCAAAAGUUCGGACACACCUUCUUAUUCAAUGCGUUUUCUUUAUUUUCACGACUAUUUACCACAUCAAAACUAUGAAUGAACACGUGUGGAGUUAUGUACUUCACAAAAAAAGGUGAAAUAACUGAAAACAUGUUUUAUAUUCCAGUUCAGGGGUCGGCAACCUUUACCACUCAAAGCGCCGUUUUGACCCGUUUCACAAAAUAAAGAAAAACUAUGGGAGCCACGAGACUCUUUGAUGUUGACUGCCAGCUAAUCGAUGCUAACAUGCUAUGCUAAUCGAUGCUAACAUGCUAUUUACCGGCGAUGCUAAGGCAGACAUGGCAAAGAGAUGUAUGGAUAACCUGCAGAUGCAUUUGCAACUAUAAAGUCAACGAAAUCACAAAGGUGUGUUUUGUUGAUGUUGACUGCCAGCUAAUCGAUGCUAACAUGCUACGCUAAUCGAUGCUAACAUGCUAUUUACCGGCGAUGCUAAGGCAGACAUGGCACAGAGAUGUAUGGAUAACCUGCAAAUGCAUUUGCAACGAUAGUCAACAAAAUCCCAAAGGUGAGUUUUGUUGAUGUUGACUGCCAGCUAAUCGAUGCUAACAUGCUAUUUACCGGCGAUGCUAAGGCAGACAUGGCAAAGAGAUGUAUGGAUAACCUGCAGAUGCAUUUGCAACAAUAGUCAACGAAAUCACAAAGGUGUGUUUUGUUGAUGUUGACUGCCAGCUAAUCGAUGCUAACAUGCAACGCUAAUCGAUGCUAACAUGCUAUUUACCGGCGAUGCUAAGGCAGACAUGGCACAGAGAUGUAUGGAUAACCUGCAGAUGCAUUUGCAACGAUCGUCAACAAAAUCACAAAGGUGAGUUUUGUUGAUGUUGACUGCCAGCUAAUCGAUGCUAACAUGCUAGUUACCGGCGAUGCUAAGGCAGACAUGGCACAGAGAUGUAUGGAUUACUUGCAGAUGCAUUUGCAACGAUAGUCAACGAAAUUACAAAAGUGUGUUUUGUUGAUGUUGACUGCCAGCUAAUCAAUGCUAACAUGCUACGCUAAUCGAUGCUAACAUGCUAUUUACCGGCGGUGCUAAAGCAUACAUGGUACAGAGAUGUGUGGAUAACCUGCAGAUGCAUUUGCAACGAUAGUCAACGAAAUCACAAAGGUGAGUUUUGUUGAUGUUGACUGCCAGCUAAUUGAUGCUAACAUGCUACGCUAAUUGACGCUAACAUGCUAUUUACCGGCGGUGCUAAGGCAGACAUGGCACAGAGAUGUAUGGAUAACCUGCAGAUGCAUUUGCAACUAUAAAGUCAACGAAAUCACAAAGGUGUGUUUUGUUGAUGUUGACUGCCAGCUAAUCGAUGCUAACAUGCUAUUUACCGGCGGUGCUAAAGCAGACAUGGCACAGAGAUGUAUGGAUAACCUGCAGAUGCAUUUGCAAUUAUAUUACGUUUCCUUCCACCCACAUUUAAUGCGAAACAAACACUUACCAAUCGACGGAUUUAAGUUGCUCCAGUGUCAAAAGAUGCGAGAGUCGUGAUCGUUUGGUCCGCACAUUUUACCGGCGAUGCUAACGCAGCUAUUCGGCCAUGCUAUGGCUAUGAAUAGCGUCAAUAGCUUCAGUUUCUUCUUCAAUACUUUCAUACUCCAACCAUCUGUUUCAAUACAUGCGUAAUCCGUUGAAUCGCUUAAGUCGCUGAAAUCCGAGUUUGAAUCCGAGCUAAUGUCGCUAUAUCUUGCGGUGGUAUUCCCAUUGUUUGUUUACAUUGGCAGCACUGUGUGACGUCACAGGGAAAUGGCCAGUGUCUUCGCAGAGAGUCGAAAAUAAGGCACUUUAAAGCUUUAUUUAGGGAUAUUCCGAGACCGGUAAAAUUUUGAAAAAAAAAAAAAAAAAAUACAACAAGCCACUGGGAACUGAUUUUUAUUGUUUUUAACCCUUUUGAAAUUGUGAUAAUGUUCCCCUUUAAGGAAAUGUGACCAAGUAAAUGUAGCGUGAGCCUGAUGAGAACACACACUAAAAUGUAGUUUCGUAGACAUGGGGACAUCAGUUAUGAUGCCACAGUUUACUGUGGGAAGGCAAUGACCCUUACUACUUUUUUAAAUAUGAACAGUCGUAAAUGAUUAAACCAAGAAUGCGUGCACACACACACACACACACACACACACACACACACACACACACACACACACACACACACAUUUUACAAGAGUGUUCUGCUGGUGUUUUUAUUGUAAUGUGAGACAAACAUAAACAACGUUGUAAAAAAAACACUAUCUACUGUAGUAUUCUGACACAUGUCCUUAAAUUACUACCUUUAUUCACAUAAGUUUGCCUAUUCGGCAAAAAAAAAAAGGCAAUAAAUUAAAAGAAGACAGUGGUUUGAUCCAAGAGGAAUUCAAGUCAACGUUAGAACAAAAAACUGAAAAAAGGUUUGAAAAAUGCAUCACUGAAAUGUCCAAAAAUCAUCUGAAAAUGCAUCACUGAAAUGUUGAAAACAACUUUAAAUACUAUCUGUAAAAGGAACCUUCUCAGCAAAUGUGUGACAACAGUGGUUUUUAUCCUAUUUUAGCACAAAACCACAUUGGGAUCACUCAUAACAAAAACUUACAGAUUGGUGUGCGUUACCUUCCAUUUCCACUAGGAGGCACUCAAGAAUAUUUCAAAGUAACAGCUGGUCUUAACAGUAAGGUU